rnacentral:rRNA from 1 species
UGUAAAGUUCAAGCUCCGAUUGUGAGGGCGAAACCGCGAAUGGCUCAUUAAAUCAGUCAUGAUCUACUUGAUUGUUUAAAGUUUAAAUGGAUAACUGUGGUAAUUCUAGAGCUAAUACAUGCGUGAAGGGGGCGACUCCGCGAGGAGAAGCUCUGCGUUUAUUAGACUAAGACCGGCGGGCCCCGCAAGGGGCUCUCGCUUUGGUGGUGACUCUGAGUAAAUAAUGGGUGCAAGCCCAUGUUGCCGACCUGGCAUCCCAAACGGCCCUCGGGCCGGCCAGGCGAAUCAAUCGAGUGUCUGCUCUAUCAACUGUGGAUGGUAGGGUAAUUGCCUACCAUGGUGGUGACGGGUAACGGGGAGUUAGGGCUCGACUCCGGAGAACAAGCCUGAGAAACGGCUAGUAGGACUAAGGUCUGCAGCAGGCGCGAAACUUACACAAUGCUAGAUUUCUAUCAUAGCGAUGUAGUGAAGAAAAAUAACGAUGUGCUUGUAUUUAAACAUACUUGCACAAUUGGAAUGAGACGACUCUAAACCAGUCAGUCGAGUAACAAAUGGAGGGCAAGUCUGGUGCCAGCAGCCGCGGUAAUUCCAGCUCCAUUAGCAUACAUUAAAGUUGUUGCGGUUAAAAAGCUCGUAGUUGAAUAUUGGACGGGCCUUUGUUGGCGGCGGUCGUUAAAGGUUAACUCGGACUCCGGUCCAGCUGGCUGGCCGUCGACCAGCUUGGGGCUCGUUGUUUCGUCACUUAAUCGAGUGCGAAGCGGGUCGGAGCAAGCUGCAGCAAUGCACUCGCGACGACAUGUUUACCUUGAGAAAAUUAGAGUGCUCAGAGCAGGCAGUUGGGGUGUAAAAGCCCCUUUAUGCUUGAAUAAUGUUGCAUGGAAUAAUAGAAUACGGCCUCGGUUCUAUUCUGUUGGUCUUAUAGAACAACAAACAAGUUGGCUGGGGCACUAAACGGCGCGCCAAGGGCGUGGCCGCGCGCCCGUCCCUGUUGUCUGGGGCCUAAAAAUCUCAGUACCUCGGCGGAGCGCGGCCGCUAAGCGCCCUCGGCUGCGUUAGCCACCAACCAACUGAGGCAAUGGUUAAAAGAAAUAGUCGCGGCGGCAUCAGUACUGCAUCGUGAGAGGUGAAAUUCUUAGACCGAUGCAAGACUAACUGAAGCGAAAGCGUUUGCCGAGGAUAUUUUCAUUAAUCAAGAACGAAAGUUAGAGGUUCGAAGGCGAUCAGAUACCGCCCUAGUUCUAACCAUAAACGUUGCCAACUAGCAAUUGGAUUGCGAUUCCUUUAGUUGGAGCCUAAAAAACUCCAACCAUUAUGAUCCAUCCAGCGGCUCUCGUAGGGAAACCAAAGUGUUUGGGUUCCGGGGGAAGUAUGAUUGCAAAGUUGAAACUUAAAGGAAUUGACGGAAGGGCACCACCAGGAGUGGAGCCUGCGGCUUAAUUUGACUCAACACGGGGAAACUUACUAGAUUAGAACUCUGGAAUGAUUGACAGAUUGAUAGCUCUUUCUUGAUUCAGAGGAUGGUGGUGCAUGGCCGUUCUUGAUUCGUAUUCCGAAACGUCUGCCUAAUCGCGAUAACGAGUGAGACCUCUUCACGCAAACUAGUUGCUCGGUGCGCUGUGGGACGCAAAAGUUCGCCUCCGGUUCUAGGCGAGUGGCCUCGGUUGCUCGCCACCCGGGCGCGGAUGUCCUCUGCUCGCCAGCAGACUUCUCUGCGGGAUCAUGAGUAAAAAACUCAGAGAGACGAGGCAAUAACAGGUCUGUGAUGCCCUAGAUAUUCUAGGCCGCACGCGUGCUACAAUGGCGUGUGCAGAGAGCUUGUUCGAGCUCCGUCCGUGGACGGCUGGCUGUUUGGUUCAGUUGGGGGCAACUCUGGCUGGGUCGGCGGUUAAGUGGCCACGGUAGCGGGGCGAGAGAAACCGCGGUCGAAAGAUCGCGGCAAUCAUAAAUACACGCCGUGAUUUGGGAUUGGGGAUUGCAAUUGUUGCCCAUGAACGAGGAAUUCCCAGUAAGCGCGAUUCAUCAUAUCGCGCUGAUUACGUCCCUGCCCUUUGUACACACCGCCCGUCGCUACUACCGAUUGGAAGUUUUAGUGAGGCAUCUGGACUUGCUGGCCAAGGGAGGGGCAACUCUUCCAGGCUUGGCGGGGAAGUUUGUCGAACUCAAAUUUCUAGAGGAAGUAAAAGUCGUAACAAGGUUUCCGU